UACGUAGGGUGCGAGCGUUGUCCGGAAUUACUGGGCGUAAAGAGCUCGUAGGUGGUUUGUCGCGUUGUUCGUGAAAACCGGGGGCUUAACCCUCGGCGUGCGGGCGAUACGGGCAGACUUGAGUACUGCAGGGGAGACUGGAAUUCCUGGUGUAGCGGUGGAAUGCGCAGAUAUCAGGAGGAACACCGGUGGCGAAGGCGGGUCUCUGGGCAUUACCUGACGCUGAGGAGCGAAGGUGUGGGGAGCGAACAGG
rnacentral:rRNA from 1 species